rnacentral:rRNA from 1 species
AUGCUCAAAUGUUUGUUGACCAGCUUGCUAGAAAACAUCUUGCAAAUUCAGGAUUUUAUUUUGACUAUGUUCUUGAUGAUAAGGGCAGACUGGUACAUGUGUUCUGGGCGGAUGCCACAUGUAGGAAAAAAAUAUGCUCUAUUUGGAGAGCUUGUGUCCUUUGACUCCACGUAUAGCACCAAUCAAUAUAACAUGAUAUUCACCCCCUUUACUGGAAUCAAUCACCAUAAGGCAAGUGUUUGUUUUGGUGCUGCAAUGUUACACGAUGAGAAGGCAGAUUCUUACAAGUGGUUGUUUCGCACAUUCUUGAAAGCUAUGGGAGGGGCUGCACCUAGGUUUAUAAUAACUGACGAAUGUAGUAGCAUGGACAAUGCAAUAAGGGAAGUUUUCCCAGCAGCCACACAUAGGCUAUGCAUGUGGCAUAUUAUGAAUAAGAUCCCGCAAAAGGUUGGCCCUGAUUCGAAGACCGAUGAGGAUUUCCAUGAACGAUUAGGUCGGUGCGUGUGGUCUUCUGAAACUCCUACUGAAUUUGAGGAACGAUGGAAUCAUGGAUACCAGCUUAUUUCAAAGAAAUAG